rnacentral:rRNA from 1 species
GACGAACGCUGGCGGCGUGCUUAACACAUGCAAGUCGAACGAUGAAGCUGGAGCUUGCUCCGGUGGAUUAGUGGCGAACGGGUGAGUAACACGUGAGCAAUCUGCCCUUCACUCUGGGAUAACUGCGGGAAACUGUAGCUAAUACCGGAUACGAGACCUUGGGGCAUCCCAGGGUUUGGAAAGAAUUUCGGUGAAGUAUGAGCUCGCGGCCUAUCAGCUAGUUGGUGAGGUAAUGGCUCACCAAGGCGACGACGGGUAGCCGGCCUGAGAGGGUGAACGGCGACACUGGGACUGAGACACGGCCCAGACUCCGACGGGAGGCAGCAGUGGGGAAUAUUGCACAAUGGGCGAAAGCCUGAUGCAGCAACGCCGCGUGAGGGAUGAAGGCCUUCGGGUUGUAAACCUCUUUCAGAAGGGAAGAAGCGAAAGUGACGGUACCUGCAGAAGAAGCACCGGCUAACUAUGUGCCAGCCGCCGCCGUAA